GAUGAACGCUGGCGGCGUGCUUAACACAUGCAAGUCGAACGGACAGGCUCCUGCUUGCAGGGGUACUCGAGUGGCGAACGGGUGAGUAACACGUGGGUGAUCUGCCCUUCACUUCGUGAUAAGCCUGCGAAACUGGGUCUCUUAUCGGAUAUGACGAUUUUUUCCAUGCCAUUGUGGAAUGUUUUUCGGUGUGGGUUUAGCUCGCGGCCUAUCCGCUUGUUGGUUAGGUAAUUGCAGACGAAGGCGUCGACGGGUAGCCGGCCUGAGAGGGUGUACGGCCACAUUGGGACUGAGGUACGGCCCAGAAUGGUACGGGAGGCAGCAGGGGGGAGUAUGGCAGAGUAGGCGCAAGCCAGAUGCAACGACGCCGGGUGGGGGAUGACGGCCUUCGGGGGAAAAACUCAUGUCGAAAGGGACGAAGAGAAAGUGACGGUACCUGGAGAAGAAGCAACGGCUAACUACGUG
rnacentral:rRNA from 1 species